CUCACACCCUCUGGCCUGAGGCUGACUGGCUCUGUGGCUGGGUUCAGGGGUUCAGGGGUUCAGGGAGGGAGUGGGCCUUGCCCUCAGCAGCCCCCAUUCCUGCUCUGACCCCUUUUCAGUCUUCCUCCUCUUGUGGGCGGUACCCUGGGGCCCUCACCCCUGGAGGUGUGAGGACCUCCCAGCUCCUCACACGAGAUGACUGUCUAAGUAUCUAGAAAUCAAUAUUUUAAAUACAAACUUUGGAUCGCUUCGUGACUUUUGCAUAUCCUCAAAGGGCCAUCGUUUCUCUUAGGACUGACAGUCCCUCCAGCCCUACUGGGCCAGACUAGGCAGGCAUAAGGGUGCCCUGUCCCAGCCCUCUUUGGGGCGGGCUUCUGUCCCCUUCCUGCUGCCUGGAAGCAGGACCACACUUUGGUGGCAGGAGGGGCAGCAGAGACUGUGGACCCCCGAGCUGUGCCUAAGUCCUCUGUGUGGUCUAGCUGCAUUGGCCAUCAUUUACCACUCUGUAAAGAAGACCGAUACCUGUGGCAUGGAGGGCGUGAGGCUGGUGUGAGUGCCAAGCACUUGGAGCAGGGCCCUGAGUGAGCAUGGACGUGGGAGCAGGGGUGUUCCUAGACUUCAUGCACCUUGGGGAUGGGAGUGGAGCUCCCUGUGUGGGUUGAUAAGGCAUUGCUUUCCCCCACCCCACCUCUGCCCCAGCCCUGCAAGUCCAGUCCUUGGGGGUCUAGGAGGGAAGAAGCCCCUGGCUGUGAGUCCUCGAGAUGGACCCUGGCCCUCUCUGGCUCUGAGUUCCUGGGAAAGUCGGUGGUGUUGGAACUCCGGAUUCAUUCCUCAGCGUUGAGGCACUGUCUGUGGAAACCGUGGGACAAGGUGAAGGUAUACAAAAUGUGCCUAGGAGGACUCUGCUUUAUAUCCAUUCAAAGUGAGAAGUAAUACAGGAAGAUUUUGCCUGGCUAGAGGCUGUGAAAGAAUGGAGUAUUCUGGUUUAAUGCUAUUAACUUGGAAGUACGAAGGUGAAAAAAAUUCAACACUUGUAUUUCCUGUUGAAUACAAUUUGAAAAUAUAGCCAUUGAUUCCACUUUUCUUCUCUAGUAAGUUUGAACAUUCCAAUCUACUUGGUGUUUUAUUAUAGAACUGCUAGUGUGCCUGUGACUUACAUUGUGAAGAUAUGUUUUUAAAACUUGAGAGGUAAGAGGGUGUAAAUGGUGUUGUAUGAGAUCAGGCUGGAUGAGAACUGACAUUGUAAAUAUACUUUUUAGACUGAAUCACUGAAUGCCACUUGUUUUCUUAUUUAACUCAUAAAAAUAGAACACAUUGGAUGGAGGGUGGGAGCAGGAGGGAGAUUUAUGUCUUUUAAUUGCAUGUCAUUGUUUCAUAUCAAGACCCAACAUAUGUAAUCCCUGGCUUUGGACCUACAGAAGGAAACACGUUUUUCUGCCUGUUGUAUACCAGAGGUUCUUGAACACCCAGAGGGUUACUGCAGCACAGAUGGCUGAGCUUUACUCCAGAGUUACUGAUUCACCAGGUCCAGGGUGGGGCCUGAGAAUUUGCACUCAUGAAAAGUUCUCAGGUUCUGCUGGUGCUGCUAGUCCAGAGACUACAUUAUUGAGAACCCUCUUGUCUACUAACUGUAAAUGGUAGAACUCUAGAAAAAAGCUUAGUUUGGUGUGGGAUAAGAAGCUCAGAGAUUAUGGAGCAAAUCAUGAAAGAUUCAACCCUUGAUCCCAGCACAGUGUGGAAUUCAGGUAGCAAUACACAGUGACAUAACACAAUUCUUGAUUUUCAUGAUUGCAAGUCAUAGCCAAGUAUCAAGUGAGAAAAUCAGUUUCAUUUGCAAGGCUUAGAAAGGCCAGGUGAUCCCAGAAAAAGAGGUCUUGUAUUUGCUUUAAACUGGUAAAGAGUUUUGAGUGCUUAUUAGAUUGAAAGUUUUGUAUUUUUCUAUUUUAUUUUAUUUUAUUUUAUUUUAUUUUAUUUUAUUUUAUUUUAUUUUUAGAUGGAGUCUCGCUGUGUUGCCCAGGCUGGAAUGCAGUUGCUUGAUCUUGGCUCACUGCAAAUUCCGCCUCCUGGGUUUAAGUGAUUCUCCUGCCUGAGCCUCGUGAGUAGCUGGGAUUACACGUACACACCAACACACCUGGGUAUUUUUCUAUUUUUAGUAGAGACGGGGUUUCAUCAUGUUGCCCAGGCUGGUCUUGAACUCCUGAACUAAAGUGAACCACUGC
ensembl:lncRNA